rnacentral:lncRNA from 1 species
AAAUAAAUCCUCUGAUUUCCUAAAGUCUGAAGCUAGCUGAAACUGUCCUUGCAGCGACAAUGUCAAUUACCUUAUUUCUAAACCUGCUAAACCACUGUUGUAUCUGAGCCCCGAGGGUGGAUUUAGCACAUAAAAAGAAUUUGACGGUGACUUUGAAAAAAGGAAAACUUUGAGAAAGGAGAGGAUCUUUUUGUUUCCUCACUUCCAUCUGCUGGUGUAAGGAAGCAGGUUGCUGCAGGGGGACAGAGGCAAAAAGAAAGCUGCUGACAGUUGUUGCUAAGAAAGGCUGAAGACUCUGAAAUAACAGGGGGAAGAAAUCGUUCACCUUUGAAAGAUAGUCUUUCACCAUGGGAAGAAUGGUUCAUUUGCAAAGAGAAGGAACUACGUGCCCGCUUACAAGCUAGAGCUCUGGAGGAAAUUAAUCUACAGCUUGAGAAAAUGAAAGAAAAGCAAGAAUUUGAAAGAAGGAGAAGGAUAGCUGAAGAGAAGCACAAGGAAUGGGUGCAAAAAAAAAAAGAAGAGGUAAAUACUGCUUUGGUUGUAAAUAUUAUAGCACAUGCUGUGCUUUAGUAAACCUAUGUAAAAUUUGCCCAGGCUUUUUGAACAACCAUGUUUUUACUUUGCUGAAUAAUGGCUGUUUUAAUUGAAAAUUAUAAAAUCACAUCAACAGAGUUUAACAUUUUUCC